rnacentral:lncRNA from 1 species
AGUGACAUCCAAGAGCCCAGAGGAGCCUGAAGAACAAUUGAGAGAAGCCUCCUUUGCCAACGCGUUGCCCACCAGGGCUGCACGUGGUACCCUUGCUCCAAGAUGCUUCCCAAAAACACCAGGUAAGCUUUAAGAGGCAGAUCUGAGACAAGUCAUGCUGGAUAGCGGCAUGUUCCUAGCAACUGUCUUCUUUGAUGCUGGUGUUUAAUGAAAACCAGGAGAAAGGCAUGUUUUAGCUAAUUUGUAGACAGGCUGGCAUGGAGGAAAUGACAUAGAUAGGUUACUUGGUCAGCGAAUAGAUUUCCUUUCAUCUUCAGUUCAGAGACAGAGUGGAGUGGGCAGAGCCCAGAUGUGUUGUUAGGGGGCCUGGGUUCAAAUCCUGGAGUUUCCUCAUCUCUGAAUCAGGGGUGAUACCCCCUGCCUUACCUAAACCACAGCUUUGUGAAGAUCAUAUGAGAACAAGAAUGUGAAAGGAUUCGAGAUCUGUAAAGUCUUGCCCCGAUGGCAGGAAUUAAGAAUUCUUAUUCUAACCUUCAAAUGUUUUAGAUCCAAGAACUGAAAGCCUACUCCAAAA